UACCAGCCCCGCGAGUGGUCGGGACGUUUACUGGGCCUAAAGCGCCCGUAGCCGGCCCGGCAAGUCCCCACUGAAAUCCCUGGGCUCAACCUGGGGACGGGUGGGGAUACUGCCGGGCUAGGGGGCGGGAGAGGCCGAGGGUACUCCCGGGGUAGGGGCGAAAUCCGAUAAUCCCGGGAGGACCACCAGUGGCGAAGGCGCUCGGCUGGAACGCGCCCGACGGUGAGGGGCGAAAGCCGGGGGCGCGAACCGG
rnacentral:rRNA from 1 species